UGACCCUAACGGGUCACCUAGCCAACUGACGUUGUUAGUGAAUAUUAUAUUCAUACUAUAUCAGCCAAUAGAGUCCUUUCUAUUGGCUAUUUUUUU
rnacentral:sRNA from 1 species